rnacentral:rRNA from 2 species
CAACAGGGAUACCUCAGUAACGGCGAGUGAAGCGGUAACAGCUCAAAUUUGAAAUCUGGCUCUUUCAGGGUCCGAGUUGUAAUUUGUAGAAGAUGCUUUGGGCAUUGCUCCGGUCUAAGUUCCUUGGAACAGGACGUCAUAGAGGGUGAGAAUCCCGUAUGUGACUGGUGGCAUUUGUCCGUGUAAAGCUCUUUCGACGAGUCGAGUUGUUUGGGAAUGCAGCUCAAAAUGGGUGGUAUAUUUCAUCUAAAGCUAAAUAUUGGCCAGAGACCGAUAGCGCACAAGUAGAGUGAUCGAAAGAUGAAAAGCACUUUGGAAAGAGAGUUAAACAGUACGUGAAAUUGUUGAAAGGGAAGCGCUUGCAACCAGACUUGCAGGUCGUUGAUCAUCCGGGGUUCUCCCCGGUGCACUCGGCGGCUUUCAGGCCAGCAUCGGUUUGAGUGGUGGGAUAAAGGCCUUGGGAAUGUGGCUCCUUUCGGGGAGUGUUAUAGCCCAAGGUGCAAUGCCGCCUAUUCGGACCGAGGACCGCGCUUCGGCUAGGAUGCUGGCGUAAUGGUUGUAAGCGACCCGUCUUGAAACACGGACCAAGGAGUCUAACAUCUAUGCGAGUGUUUGGGUGUCAAACCCAUACGCGUAAUUAACGUGAACGGAGGUAAGAACCCUUAAGGGUGCAUUAUCGACCGAUCCUGAUGUCUUCGGAUGGAUUUGAGUAAGAGCAUAGCUGUUGGGACCCGAAAGAUGGUGAACUAUGCCUGAAUAGGGUGAAGCCAGAGGAAACUCUGGUGGAGGCUCGCAGCGGUUCUGACGUGCAAAUCGAUCGUCAAAUUUGGGUAUAGGGGCGAAAGACUAAUCGA